rnacentral:rRNA from 1 species
CGCUGGCGGCGUGCCUAAUACUGCAAGUCGAGCGGACAGAAGGGAGCUUGCUCCCGGAUGUUAGCGGCGGACGGGUGAGUAACACGUGGGUAACCUGCCUGUAAGACUGGGAUAACUCCGGGAAACCGGAGCUAUUACCGGAUAGUUCCUUGAACCGCAUGGUUCAAGGAUGAAAGACGGUUUCGGCUGUCACUUACAGAUGGACCCGCGGCGCAUUAGCUAGUUGGUGGGGUAAUGGCUCACCAANGCGACGAUGCGUAGCCGACCUGAGAGGGUGAUCGGCCACACUGGGACUGAGACACGGCCAGACUCCUACGGGAGGCAGCAGUAGGGAAUCUUCCGCAAUGGACGAAAGUCUGACGGAGCAACGCCGCGUGAGUGAUGAAGGUUUUCGGAUCGUAAAGCUCUGUNGUUAGGGAAGAACAAGUGCGAGAGUAACUGCUCGCACCUGAACGGUACCUAACCAGAAAGCCACGGCUAACUACGUGCCAGCAGCCGCGGUAAUACGUAGGUGGCACGCUUGGUCCGGAAUUAUUGGGCGUAAAGGGCUCGCAGGCGGUUUCUUAAGUCUGAUGUGAAAGCCCCCGGCUCAACCGGGGAGGGUCAUUGGAAACUGGGAAACUUGAGUGCAGAAGAGGAGAGUGGAAUUCCACGUGUAGCGGUGAAAUGCGUAGAGAUGUGGAGGAACACCAGUGGCGAAGGCGACUCUCUGGUCUGUAACUGACGCUGAGGAGCGAAAGCGUGGGGAGCGAACAGGAUUAGAUACCCUGGUAGUCCACGCCGUAAACGAUGAGUGCUAAGUGUUAGGGGGUUUCCGCCCCUUAGUGCUGCAGCUAACGCAUUAAGCACUCCGCCUGGGGAGUACGGUCGCAAGACUGAAACUCAAAGGAAUUGACGGGGGCCCGCACAAGCGGUGGAGCAUGUGGUUUAAUUCGAAGCAACGCGAAGAACCUUACCAGGUCUUGACAUCCUCUGACAACCCUAGAGAUAGGGCUUUCCCUUCGGGGACAGAGUGACAGGUGGUGCAUGGUUGUCGUCAGCUCGUGUCGUGAGAUGUUGGGUUAAGUCCCGCAACGAGCGCAACCCUUGAUCUUAGUUGCCAGCAUUCAGUUGGGCACUCUAAGGUGACUGCCGGUGACAAACCGGAGGAAGGUGGGGAUGACGUCAAAUCAUCAUGCCCCUUAUGACCUGGGCUACACACGUGCUACAAUGGACAGAACAAAGGGCUGCGAGACCGCAAGGUUUAGCCAAUCCCAUAAAUCUGUUCUCAGUUCGGAUCGCAGUCUGCAACUCGACUGCGUGAAGCUGGAAUCGCUAGUAAUCGCGGAUCAGCAUGCCGCGGUGAAUACGUUCCCGGGCCUUGUACACACCGCCCGUCACACCACGAGAGUUUGCAACACCCGAAGUCGGUGAGGUAACCUUUAUGGAGCCA